GGACUACCGGGGUUUCUAAUCCCGUUCGCUCCCCAUGCUGUCGUGUCUGAGCGUCAGGGGCGAGCCAGGAGGCCGCCUUCGCCUCUGGGGUUCCUCCGGAUCUCUACGCAUUUCACCACUACACCCGGAAUUCCACCUCCCUCUCUCGCCCUCUAGCUCUUCAGUCUGGCAUAACCCCUCCCGGUUGAGCCGGAUACUUUCAUACACCACUUGAAGAGCAGCCUGCACACGCUUUACGCCCAGUAAAUCCGGAUAACGCUUGCCACCUACGUUUUACCGCGGCUGCUGGCAC
rnacentral:rRNA from 1 species